AAACACGUGAGCGUGCAGCGGCCAUUGUGAGUGCGGUGGAGGAAAGGCAAGAAGGGAAAAAGUACACUUUUCUGUAGCUCAAGAAAUCUAUAAUUUGCAUCCAGCCACAUGAAUGUUGCAGAUCCUUUCUGUGAGGAAACUUACAGCUGUCUACAAAGGAUGAUGUUGCCCAGCAGUGUAACAAGCUCCUUGCUGGGCUAUCCUUCGUUAAGGAGAUAUUCAAGAAUAGUGUCAAGCAGUUGAUGAAAAUGUCUGUUUAUGGAUGUGGGAAGUCCAUGGGCAUGUCAGAAGUUUCUUUUGCUCUGAGGAUCAAUUAAAUUAUACUUCCAUUAACACCCUCUGAUGCAAAUUCACAAAUGGCUGGUUUAUGUUAAACUUAGCCUGGCCAAUUUUUGGACAGCCUCAGUUUCACACAAUCAGAUGCUGUAACAUCAUU